rnacentral:lncRNA from 1 species
AGGAACAUCAGACUUGCAUGUUGAAGUUGAUUCUACUGAUGUGCAAGAAAUAAUCCUUCUCCCUCAGCUCUGCUGCUCCUGAGCUGCUACUCAGAGGGGGGCCCACCGGUGGAAGAAGUGCUGUUAUCUUCAGCAGAAAAAGCGUUUGGGAUUCAAACCUGUCUCAAAAGCCCCUUAGGAGGGAGACCGCUGCCCUGGUAGAAAUAAUAUGCUUCCAGCAGGCAAGCUAGGUAAAGAUGAGAGUCCUGGAAAAGCAUCUUCCGUGACUGAAUGCUGCAAGGGGCCCAGCUCUCCAUCCCUGAUCUGUAAGAUUGCCAGGCCAAGACGCAGCUGCCAUGUUCGUGAAACUGCGGAGCCCUGCCAUGCGAGUGUACAAGGCACUGUAAAUAGAAGUGGCCCAGUGCUUCCUGCUGCUACCUAACCAUCAAUUUGAUUUGAAGAAGAAGAGAGAAGGAGCAAAAGACUCCAUCCGUGUUAGAUCUAGCAAGGAUCGAGGUGCUUCCCCGGCCAGCUGGAGCACGCGUGGCCAGGAGCGGCAGCAAACGCAGCUCGGUGCAGGCAGACGUGGCUACGUCCCGGCGAACCUGCUGAGCUGUUCUCUGCCCUUGGCUACAGGUAAUUGCUUUGCCUCAUGCAAUUAUAUGGGGUAAUUAGUAAUGGAUUACACAAAGCAGAGCAAAACUAUCAGUGCAGCCUCCUCAUUUGUGGUCUGUCCCUUUAGGAGUGAUUGAUAAUGUGUUUUUAUUUUUUUAUUAUUAUUCUUUUAACC